UACGAAGGGGGCUAGCGUUGCUCGGAAUCACUGGGCGUAAAGCGCACGUAGGCGGAUCUUUAAGUCAGAGGUGAAAUCCCAAGGCUCAACCUUGGAACUGCCUUUGAUACUGGCGACCUUGAGUCCGGGAGAGGUGAGUGGAACUGCGAGUGUAGAGGUGAAAUUCGUAGAUAUUCGCAAGAACACCAGUGGCGAAGGCGGCUCACUGGCCCGGUACUGACGCUGAGGUGCGAAAGCGUGGGGAGCAAACAGG
rnacentral:rRNA from 1 species